UGGGGAAUAUUGCGCAAUGGGGGAAACCCUGACGCAGCGACGCCGCGUGUGGGAUGAAGGUCUUCGGAUUGUAAACCACUGUCGCGAGGGACGAAGCUCUGACGGUACCUCGAAAGGAAGCACCGGCUAACUCUGUGCCAGCAGCCGCGGUAAUACAGAGGGUGCGAGCGUUGUCCGGAAUCACUGGGCGUAAAGGGCGCGUAGGCGGCCCGGUAAGUGGGGGGUGAAAUCUCAUGGCUCAACUGUGAGGCUGCCUUCUAGACUGCCAGGCUUGAGCACAGUAGAGGCGAGUGGAAUUCCCGGUGUAGCGGUGGAAUGCGUAGAGAUCGGGAAGAACAUCGGUGGCGAAGGCGGCUCGCUGGGCUGUUGCUGACGCUGAGGCGCGAAAGCGUGGGGAGCAAACAGGAUUAGAUACCCCCGUAGUCCCUGAGCGGGCUGGCAAGGCGCAU
rnacentral:rRNA from 1 species